rnacentral:rRNA from 1 species
AGUGAACGCUGGCGGUAGGCCUAACACAUGCAAGUCGAACGGCAGCACAGUAAGAGCUUGCUCUUACGGGUGGCGAGUGGCGGACGGGUGAGGAAUACAUCGGAAUCUACUUUUUCGUGGGGGAUAACGUAGGGAAACUUACGCUAAUACCGCAUACGACCUACGGGUGAAAGCAGGGGAUCUUCGGACCUUGCGCGAUUGAAUGAGCCGAUGUCGGAUUAGCUAGUUGGCGGGGUAAAGGCCCACCAAGGCGACGAUCCGUAGCUGGUCUGAGAGGAUGAUCAGCCACACUGGAACGGAGAAACGGUCCAGACUCCUACGGGAGGCAGCAGUGGGGAAUAUUGGACAAUGGGCGCAAGCCUGAUCCAGCCAUACCGCGUGGGUGAAGAAGGCCUUCGGGUUGUAAAGCCCUUUUGUUGGGAAAGAAAAGCAGCAGGUUAAUACCCCGCUGUUCUGACGGUACCCAAAGAAUAAGCACCGGCUAACUUCGUG